UACCGCAUACGUCCUACGGGAGAAAGCAGGGGACCUUCGGGCCUUGCGCUAUCAGAUGAGCCUAGGUCGGAUUAGCUAGUUGGUGAGGUAAUGGCUCACCAAGGCGACGAUCCGUAACUGGUCUGAGAGGAUGAUCAGUCACACUGGAACUGAGACACGGUCCAGACUCCUACGGGAGGCAGCAGUGGGGAAUAUUGGACAAUGGGCGAAAGCCUGAUCCAGCCAUGCCGCGUGUGUGAAGAAGGUCUUCGGAUUGUAAAGCACUUUAAGUUGGGAGGAAGGGUUGUAGAUUAAUACUCUGCAAUUUUGACGUUACCGACAGAAUAAGCACCGGCUAACUCUGUGCCAGCAGCCGCGGUAAUACAGAGGGUGCAAGCGUUAAUCGGAAUUACUGGGCGUAAAGCGCGCGUAGGUGGUUCGUUAAGUUGGAUGUGAAAGCCCCGGGCUCAACCUGGGAACUGCAUUCAAAACUGUCGAGCUAGAGUAUGGUAGAGGGUGGUGGAAUUUCCUGUGUAGCGGUGAAAUGCGUAGAUAUAGGAAGGAACACCAGUGGCGAAGGCGACCACCUGGACUGAUACUGACACUGAGGUGCGAAAGCGUGGGGAGCAACAGGAUUAGAUACCCUGGUAGUCCACGCCGUAAACGAUGUCAACUAGCCGUUGGGAGCCUUGAGCUCUUAGUGGCGCAGCUAACGCAUUAAGUUGACCGCCUGGGGAGUACGGCCGCAAGGUUAAAACUCAAAUGAAUUGACGGGGGCCCGCACAAGCGGUGGAGCAUGUGGUUUAAUUCGAAGCAACGCGAAGAACCUUACCAGGCCUUGACAUCCAAUGAACUUUCCAGAGAUGGAUUGGUGCCUUCGGGAGCAUUGAGACAGGUGCUGCAUGGCUGUCGUCAGCUCGUGUCGUGAGAUGUUGGGUUAAGUCCCGUAACGAGCGCAACCCUUGUCCUUAGUUACCAGCACGUUAUGGUGGGCACUCUAAGGAGACUGCCGGUGACAAACCGGAGGAAGGUGGGGAUGACGUCAAGUCAUCAUGGCCCUUACGGCCUGGGCUACACACGUGCUACAAUGGUCGGUACAGAGGGUUGCCAAGCCGCGAGGUGGAGCUAAUCCCAUAAAACCGAUCGUAGUCCGGAUCGCAGUCUGCAACUCGACUGCGUGAAGUCGGAAUCGCUAGUAAUCGCGAAUCAGAAUGUCGCGGUGAAUACGUUCCCGGGC
rnacentral:rRNA from 1 species